rnacentral:rRNA from 1 species
AUUGAACGCUGGCGGCAUGCCUUACACAUGCAAGUCGAACGGUAACAGGUCUUCGGAUGCUGACGAGUGGCGAACGGGUGAGUAAUACAUCGGAACGUGCCUAGUAGUGGGGGAUAACUACUCGAAAGAGUGGCUAAUACCGCAUGAGAUCUACGGAUGAAAGCAGGGGAUCGCAAGACCUUGUGCUACUAGAGCGGCCGAUGGCAGAUUAGGUAGUUGGUGGGAUAAAAGCUUACCAAGCCGACGAUCGGUAGCUGGUCUGAGAGGACGAUCAGCCACACUGGGACUGAGAAACGGCCCAGACUCCUACGGGAGGCAGCAGUGGGGAAUUUUGGACAAUGGGCGCAAGCCUGAUCCAGCAAUGCCGCGUGCAGGAUGAAGGCCUUCGGGUUGUAAACUGCUUUUGUACGGAACGAAAAGCCCCGGGUUAAUACCCUGGGGUCAUGACGGUACCGUAAGAAUAAGCACCGGCUAACUACGUGCCAGCAGCCGCCGUAACAC